UGAGCUUUCCUUUAAAGAUCAUCUUCUCAAAAUUGCUUACCCUGUAGACGGCCACUGAAGGCCAAGAAGAGCAGCAUAUAUUGCUCAUCUGGCAACGCGGGGUGUCGGCGUCAUCUCUGGAAGAAAGGGGAACCCAGCUUUGCAGAACAGGAGCCCGACGAAAGGUGCGCGGCACGGCUAUGGAAACGAGAGGGGCCGAGUGCCUGGCAGUCAGGCGGGAAACGCGCCG
rnacentral:lncRNA from 1 species